rnacentral:rRNA from 1 species
CGCGGCCUAUCAGCUUGUUGGUGAGGUAAUGGCUCACCAAGGCGUCGACGGGUAGCCGGCCUGAGAGGGUGACCGGCCACACUGGGACUGAGACACGGCCCAGACUCCUACGGGAGGCAGCAGUGGGGAAUAUUGCACAAUGGGCGAAAGCCUGAUGCAGCAACGCCGCGUGAGGGAUGACGGCCUUCGGGUUGUAAACCUCUUUUAGCAGGGAAGAAGCGAAAGUGACGGUACCUGCAGAAAAAGCGCCGGCUAACUGCGUGCCAGCAGCCGCGGUAAUACGUAGGGCGCAAGCGUUAUCCGGAAUUAUUGGGCGUAAAGAGCUCGUAGGCGGUUUGUCGCGUCUGCUGUGAAAUCCCGAGGCUCAACCUCGGGCCUGCAGUGGGUACGGGCAGACUAGAGUGCGGUAGGGGAGAUUGGAAUUCCUGGUGUAGCGGUGGAAUGCGCAGAUAUCAGGAGGAACACCGAUGGCGAAGGCAGAUCUCUGGGCCGUAACUGACGCUGAGGAGCGAAAGGGUGGGGAGCAAACAGGCUUAGAUACCCUGGUAGUCCACCCCGUAAACGUUGGGAACUAGUUGUGGGGACCAUUCCACGGUUUCCGUGACGCAGCUAACGCAUUAAGUUCCCCGCCUGGGGAGUACGG